GGUUAUAGUAGCUUAAGGAUGGCAAAAUCGAGCCGAUCCGAUGGGUAUGCACCCUAUCCAAACCCAGUCAAACUCAAAAAAUAGGGUUUGAUCGGAUUUGGGUUCGGAUUUGGAUAAAAUCCGAAAACUGUAGUACCGAUAUGAGUAGAGUAUGGGUAGUGCUGUUUUCUAUCCAAAUUUGAACCCGAUCCGAACCUACGGGUAUGGAUAAUACCC
rnacentral:lncRNA from 1 species